rnacentral:ncRNA from 1 species
UUAACUUUACUUUCUGAAAGGAGGAGAGUAUUUUAGUUAACUCUACAACUUUAUGCGUUUAAAGUUUUGGCAAGGUGUAGAAUUGGAAAAAACUGUUUAUUUGGAGUGAUCCAGGUAGAGAAAAAAAUCUAUGAAAAGUUGUGCCAGCACUAGCGGUUAUACAAUUUAGAUUCCUAAAAUUUUCUGUGACCAAAUUUUUUAUCAUUACAAAUUAAUCUCUCUAUUUUAAGGGUGAAAUUUUCAAAAUGGAGUUAUUUGGAGUAAAAAAUACCAAGUCCCACCUUAAACCAGGAUUAGAGACCCUGCUAUAAAGAAGUAGUUCGUGGUCUUACGGAGUAAAGAUUUGAAAAGCAUUCUUUUUGGCGGUUUUUCUUCUCACUAGAGGGUUAUGUGACAUAAACGAAUCUGCCCGAAGAACUCUGCCUUUGUCUGGAAUAACCUCAUUCUGUACACCACUGUUGGAAAAUUAUUUUUUUUCUUAUUUGGAGAUAAAACAAGUAAAGGUGCAGACUAUGAAAAGGGUGAUCGUGUAAUCCAAUCUGAAAUGAUUUCGAGAAUAAGAAAUAUUACUCAAGGGAGAGAAUUUAGAAGUAAAAAAAGUUGGCAAUCCUCUUUUGAAGAGAGUUCAGAAAAACGUACAAAUUGCCCGUCACUCCCAGAAGUGGGGAAGUCGUAACACAGUUGUUUUACUGGAAGGUGAAACAGGGAGUU